rnacentral:lncRNA from 10 species
UCUGGAGUGUUCUCAGUGAACCCAGGUGAGAUUGGGGCCUGCCUGCUGCGGAAGUGAGGAACAGACGUUGGAGCAGGAGAGAUGGAUGAGGAGAGUCCGGUCUACGUGUUCAAGGAAGCGAAGGGAUGAAGACUCACCUGGUGUGGAGAAGAACAAAGAAAUCCUGAAAAUGUUCAUUGGUUUGGCAGUGGAGGGAUGGCCACACACGCUCCUGUUAGACUGGGACCCUGCUCUUGCCAUAUCUGCCCUGGAUGCACGUUUCGGCCACGUGCCGCCUGGAAGCAAAGGAUGUAGGUCAGCAUUCAUGGGAGCAGACAGAGAUGGCCCAGGCUACAGGUCCCGGCUGCCCAUUGGAGAACGCAGCUUGGAAAGUACACGCUGAUGUGGCCGCUGAGAACCAACACCCCUUUGACCAUGAGGUCAGACCCCUCUCGGAAGAAGAGAAACUGAGACGCUUGUGAUGGGAGAGCUGCCAUGAGCUGGCUUGGGGCACGGGGGUGGGGAGGAGACGUCAGGAAAACUCUAAAAUUUCUGCAGCAUGUUUUGCUUUUGCUCACCUAGAUUUAGAGGAAUCCUCUGGGAAAAUGAAACUGAAAUCUUACUUCCCCACUGGCAGCCUCCUGGUGGCCACAGGAUAUGGACUUGACUUUGGUUAUAGGCGUGUCAGUGGUUUCCACUGCAUGGUGAUUGUUGGGGGUCAGAUUUGCCAAGGCAUAACUUAUGUACAAUAAAACCCACCAAUUUUA